AGACCCGAAACCCGGUGAUCUAGCCAUGGGCAGGUUGAAGGUUGGGUAACACUAACUGGAGGACCGAACCGACUAAUGUUGAAAAAUUAGCGGAUGACCUGUGGCUGGGGGUGAAAGGCCAAUCAAACCGGGAGAUAGCUGGUUCUCCCCGAAAGCUAUUUAGGUAGCGCCUCGUGAAUUCAUCUCCGGGGGUAGAGCACUGUUUCGGCUAGGGGGCCAUCCCGGCUUACCAACCCGAUGCAAACUGCGAAUACCGGAGAAUGUUAUCACGGGAGACACACGGCGGGUGCUAACGUCCGUCGUGAAGAGGGAAACAACCCAGACCGCCAGCUAAGGUCCCAAAGUCAUGGUUAAGUGGGAAACGAUGUGGGAAGGCCCAGACAGCCAGGAUGUUGGCUUAGAAGCAGCCAUCAUUUAAAGAAAGCGUAAUAGCUCACUGGUCGAGUCGGCCUGCGCGGAAGAUGUAACGGGGCUAAACCAUGCACCGAAGCUGCGGCAGCGAACGUAUCACCCAAGACAACUUUACGGAGUUGACGAUUGACGGAGCGAAGCGACGUCAAAGCGUUCAUUAAAGUCGAGUUGGCUUAGGGAUACGUUCGUUGGGUAGGGGAGCGUUCUGUAAGCCUGUGAAGGUGUGUCGUGAGGCAUGCUGGAGGUAUCAGAAGUGCGAAUGCUGACAUAAGUAACGAUAAAGCGGGUGAAAAGCCCGCUCGCCGGAAGACCAAGGGUUCCUGUCCAACGUUAAUCGGGGCAGGGUGAGUCGACCCCUAAGGCGAGGCCGAAAGGCGUAGUCGAUGGAAAACGGGUUAAUAUUCCCGUACUUGGUGUUACUGCGAAGGGGGGACGGAGAAGGCUAUGUUGGCCGGGCGACGGUUGUCCCGGUUUAAGCGUGUAGGUGUGUGUUCCAGGUAAAUCCGGUUCACUUUAACACUGAGGCGUGACGACGAGGCACUACGGUGCUGAAGCAACAAAUGCCCUGCUUCCAGGAAAAGCCUCUAAGCAUCAGGUAACAUCAAAUCGUACCCCAAACCGACACAGGUGGUCAGGUAGAGAAUACCAAGGCGCUUGAGAGAACUCGGGUGAAGGAACUAGGCAAAAUGGUGCCGUAACUUCGGGAGAAGGCACGCUGACACGUAGGUGAAGUGAUUUACUCAUGGAGCUGAAGUCAGUCGAAGAUACCAGCUGGCUGCAACUGUUUAUUAAAAACACAGCACUGUGCAAACACGAAAGUGGACGUAUACGGUGUGACGCCUGCCCGGUGCCGGAAGGUUAAUUGAUGGGGUCAGCGCAAGCGAAGCUCCUGAUCGAAGCCCCGGUAAACGGCGGCCGUAACUAUAACGGUCCUAAGGUAGCGAAAUUCCUUGUCGGGUAAGUUCCGACCUGCACGAAUGGCGUAAUGAUGGCCAGGCUGUCUCCACCCGAGACUCAGUGAAAUUGAACUCGCUGUGAAGAUGCAGUGUACCCGCGGCAAGACGGAAAGACCCCGUGAACCUUUACUAUAGCUUGACACUGAACAUUGAGCCUUGAUGUGUAGGAUAGGUGGGAGGCUUUGAAGUGUGGACGCCAGUCUGCAUGGAGCCGACCUUGAAAUACCACCCUUUAAUGUUUGAUGUUCUAACGUGGACCCGUAAUCCGGGUUGCGGACAGUGUCUGGUGGGUAGUUUGACUGGGGCGGUCUCCUCCUAAAGAGUAACGGAGGAGCACGAAGGUUGGCUAAUCCUGGUCGGACAUCAGGAGGUUAGUGCAAUGGCAUAAGCCAGCUUGACUGCGAGCGUGACGGCGCGAGCAGGUGCGAAAGCAGGUCAUAGUGAUCCGGUGGUUCUGAAUGGAAGGGCCAUCGCUCAACGGAUAAAAGGUACUCCGGGGAUAACAGGCUGAUACCGCCCAAGAGUUCAUAUCGACGGCGGUGUUUGGCACCUCGAUGUCGGCUCAUCACAUCCUGGGGCUGAAGUAGGUCCCAAGGGUAUGGCUGUUCGCCAUUUAAAGUGGUACGCGAGCUGGGUUUAGAACGUCGUGAGACAGUUCGGUCCCUAUCUGCCGUGGGCGCUGGAGAACUGAGGGGGGCUGCUCCUAGUACGAGAGGACCGGAGUGGACGCAUCACUGGUGUUCGGGUUGUCAUGCCAAUGGCACUGCCCGGUAGCUAAAUGCGGAAGAGAUAAGUGCUGAAAGCAUCUAAGCACGAAACUUGCCCCGA
rnacentral:rRNA from 1 species